GGGGGGGCGGCGCGGAGGAGGCCCCGGGGGUCGCCGCGCGGGCCGCACGCACGUGGAGCGCUGGGGAGCGGACGCCGCGGCCGGAGCGGAAGCAGACAUAGAUUUCUUGUAAGAAAUGAAGCACCCGGGUACAUGCAGAGAGGCUAACAACAGUAAACAAAUAUUGAUUGCGCCUAGCCAACUCCUGUGUUGGUCAUCAUGCCCGGUCCAUAGCUGCUGUCCUGGGACGUUGCCUUCAGCCUCCUCCUGGACUGACUUUCUUUGCUCCCCUGGCCUUCCAUUUCCUGGGUCUCAUCUCUUGUUUUGGUGAGGUGCUCAUAGUCGCUGUACAGAGAUCAGGCUGGGCAGUUCAGUUACAGAACCUCUGAUGUCACUGCUGUUUUUCCCUCCUGGGCUCGUCAGAUAAGACUGCAAGAGUCCAGUACUCUGAAGAGUAGAGUGGCAGCUUCUAGCUCCCGGAGCUGGGGAGAACAGGGUGGGUGAGCAGAGACGGCUCCUCGUGCACACGGGCUCACUGUUUCCAUAAGGUUGCACCAAGUUCGACUCUGUCAGGGGUCCCACAGCCAGAAACCCAUAUUACUCCCUCCUAAGAAUGUAUCUCCAAUGAAAGGGGAGCAGUGAUGCAGCUUCUCAGAGGUCAAAAGGGAUCUGGCCGUCUGAUUCUUCAACAAAUUUUCAACGGAUCAUCAUUUCCAGUCUCUCUUCUUCACCUCAUUUCCUGGAGAAUCUGAGGCUGCCAAUUCCUGGGACUUUGAGGAUUUUCAGCAUCAAACAAGUCACCCCUUGGCUUUGCUGCUUCCAGCAAAGGGAUUUGGUUGAGGGAGACCUGCUAAGUCUUUUACAACCCAUCCACCAUCUCUCAAGUUUCCAGUCUGGUUCCUGUUGCUUCUCCUCCCCACUUCCCCUCUUUGAGGCCUUUUAAAAGUUCAGUCAUUGUUUUUGGGUCAGGUUAUGAUCGCAGGGUUGUGAAAUGGAGCCCUGUGUCCAGCCUGGGUAUGGAGCCUGCUUAAGAUUCACUCUCUCUCCUUCUCCCCCCGCCCACCUAAAAAAAAUAAAAAUUUUAAAAAUUCAGUCAUUUUAAUUGGGUUUGGGGGGCACCAAAAUUUGAUUUCUGUUUUUAACUUACCUUCUGUACUAGGGAACUUUGUCAAUUUUUUUUAAGGUUUUAUUUAUUUAUUGAGAGAGAAAACGAGUAUGGGGAGGGGCAGAGGGAGAGGGAGAAGCAGACUCCCCGCUGAGCAGGGAGCCUGACGUGGGGCUCGAACCUAACCCCAGGACCCUGAGAUCAUGACCUGAGCCGAAGGCAGACACUUUACCAACUGAGCCGCCAGGCACCCCCUCCAUCAAAUUUCCUACAAGCAUAACUAGGACAGUUGAUAGCAGUAGUCCUGUGAAUCUGAGGGCAAGGAUGAGAGCCUGCAGCUGCUCACUCGGCAGCUGGCUCCUCCCCGGGCUUGUCCUGAACCAAGGCAGGACACAGGUCAAAGGGAAUGCAUGAACCCCUGCACGGUGACCGGCACCUGUGAGUAUCGGAGAAAGAGCCACUUCAAAGACUGUGAAACUGAAGGCACCACUGAUGUACUGAGCGGUGCAGAAGACAGGAACGCAGCUAUUAUGCUCCAACUGAAACCCAAACAUGAGAGUCAGGGCCUCAUGGGCAGCUUUUAAAGAGACCCUCGUCACUGGUGACCACAGGGAUGACGGAACUAAAGGGCAGACAUGAGCCUUAGUUAAGAGUGGCAGGACUUGGAGGAGGUGAAUUCUCAGCCUGGCAGUAUCAGGGCCCUCGUAGCCAUGAGAGACUGGGUGACUUGGAGCACAGACACCUGCUAGACACUUGAUGGCCUGACUCACCUGGGUUCCCCUAAACGCUCUGGACCUCUGGAAGAGAGAACUUCUCUUGCUUGUAAACUAUACAGAAGCUUCAAAUGAGCCGGGUUAUCUUACAAAACAAUGCUGACCCCACUCAGAAUUUGCCUCCACUUCUCUCCUGACCACCAGCCAGUUCUAGGAUCAAAUUUUAGUAUGAUUCAAGUGGGGAAGUACAGGGUUGGCCAAGGGAAGAGAGGAAUACAUGGCAAAGGAGCUGCAGGAGCCCAGAGAAUGAGUCUGGAGUGGAUCCCACCGGGCCUGGAUCAAGUGGGUGGAGUGUGAGUGAACAUGCUGGCAAGGGCCCUGGAGCGACUCUUAGGAGGCUGGCUUUCCUCCUCCGUCUGUGACAUUCAGAACCCUGUUUACUAAUUGAGGGUUUCCAUGAGUGUUUAUUGGCCAUCAGAUAGGUACGAGGCAGCAGGUGCUCCAGGAGACAGAUGCGAUCCUUGGCCCCGCAGCACCUUACAGGGGCAGUCGGCAGACCAGUAAGCACAAAAGUAGAGCUGUUCGGGGUGCAAACGCCUUGGAAGGAAACAGCCAGGCGCUACAACAGGGCCUAGGGAAGGGAGCACCUCGUUCAGCCACCGUGCCAUGGAGGGCCCCUCUCCAGAGGUGAUACUAAGCUGAUAACCGACGGAUAAGGAGCCCGCCAUGGGAGCAGCUUGAGUAAGAGCUUUCCAGGCUGGAGGGAAAGGAAACAAAGAUCCUGAGGUGAGAAGGAGAUCGGGUGUCUUCCAGAAGCUGAUAAAAAGUCACAGCAACAUCCAUGCUCCCUUGCUGUUGUUUUGCUGCUUGGGCUUUAAAACUCUACUUAAUAUUUGGAGCUUUGCACUUCUAGGCAAAAGUGCCUCUGAUGUACAGGAUAGGCACCUACGUGGUGGUUUUGGCUAUGGACUCACACGUUGUUAUUUGGGGAUGUAAACAAUAACAGUUUCCAUUUUUUUAAUCCCACUACAUGCCAAGUUACUUUACAAAUAAUCCUUAUCUCAUUGAACUGUCCCAGCAAUCCUGCAAGACAGCGAACAUUACCCCAUUUUACAGAUGACAAAACCAGGGUUUAGAGAAGCAAAGAAGCGGCCACAGCAUUUCUUCCAUUCCCUGCCCCCAAAACCUACCCCAGAGACUCGGGCGUGAGUUUCCAAAUGUAAAACUCUAAGGGCUUUUUGUUAUCUUUAAUGUCAAGCUUUGGCCCGAAAUGUAGUAUAUUAUUACGUUAGGAUAGAAAACAAAGGGAAAAGAGCCUCUCCUCGACAGGUACAGUGAACACCAGUGUUCUGUUUUUCUAGCCUACACCCAGCAAUUCUCUUCGGAAGCCAACAGGACACGGUAUGUCAACACAGCAGCCCAGGUUUGAUUUGGAGGGCAGAGCUAAAACAAGACCCAGCACGCUUUAAGUUCAAUUCAGCCAAUGAAAGGACCAGGAACUAAUCUGCAAUAACAACAAAAACACAGUAAGAUUAUAGCUGAAGAAACUCCUCAGUUGUUUAUAUUCUGAAGGGAGCUCCCGGACACUUCCUGGGGACGUCUGGAGAGCACCAGAAUUUACAAUUUAAACUCCUUAUUUCCAGGGCCAGUCCAAAGGCUACAAAUAUAGUAAUUAAAAUUCAGGCAUGUAUAAACAUACAAACAAGCAAACUUUGUAUUGUUGCCAGCCCUUCAAUUUCUUAAUUACAGAGUAGGAAGUCAACGUUACCAGCUCGGAAUCCCUGGGAUAAUCACAAGGGACAAAACGAAGGCAGAUUUUCUUGGCCCGGAAAUAUACUUGUCAAGUUAGUGCAGGAUCAGACUCAAGGGCUGUUGCCUACACGCACUGAGCACGAGUGAUGACAGGGUGCGUGUGGUCACAUACUCGAGGUGGCGGAGGAGACAGGAGGUGGGGGGGCUGUUUCAGCACAGAAGUGAGAAGAAGAAAUGGCAAGAGGCAUAGUGUCUAGUCAAAAUGAGAAAGCCAUUCUGAGCUUCUGGUGACUGUCACUCCACCCAGAGAUGAAGCUGAGGAAUGGAGUGACUGGCAGGGCCAACUGGACAAAGAGGUGGGACCCUGGCUGAGCGGAGCCCAGGAGGCAGCUGUUGUCAGCUGGACCGGGCACUGCCCUUGGGUAAUUUUAGGAGAAAAAGAAAAAGAAGAGAAAGCAUGCCCCAGGCCUUAUCCCAGACCAGAUGGACCAGACCCUCUGGGAGGUAUUAGCAUAUUUGAAAAGCUCCUUAGGAGAAGCCCUGUGUGGCUCACACUGAGCAUCACUAGCUUAAAGGGACUCAGGGCUGUGAAGCAGAGUGGGGGGAUGCCGGGAAGGUAGGAAGGCACCACGUGGCCUACGGGACAGAGUGAACGGGGCGAGGCAGCAGGCUCCACCCGGGUUCCCUGGGGACGUGUAUGGUUUGGAAGAUAGGACUCAACCAUCACUUAGAGGACUGUGGCUCCUUCUACAUGGUCCACGUGUGACCAGCUGAGAUAACCGAGUUUCACACCCAGCUGGCCCCCCCCUAUCUGCGUGGUAUUGCCGCCCUAGUUCCCAGGGUUGUUUUGACAAGGAAAACAGAAAAGUUCCAAACGGACUCACUUUCUCUGCUGUUUGUCACCCGUAAAUUGUUUCCGUUUGAGCUCAGGUCUGAGGACUCAUAAGGUCGCUAGGUGUUGAUGGUGACCUGGUCCCUCACGGCCUGAUACGGGAGUGUUUACACUGCAGAGUCCACCUAUGUGCGGUUGAUGAAAAAACAUUACGGGGACUCCGUCACUGCUACUAGCGCCUCUGAAAAGACAUUCUAAGUGUAUGGAAGUUUCUUCUUCAGGUCUUGAGUUGAUGCAAGUUUCAAACAAGUCCAGACAAAGGGGAGACUAAGAAGCUGAGAUUUUAAGGAUCCCAGGACAGCUUUUUUUUUUUUCUUUUUCCAAUAUAAAUGUCUCUAUUGGUCCCUAUAGGCCCCACGUUAAUCAUUUAAUGGACCUCAGUACAAGUACAAAUGGUACCCGAGAUAAAUAGCAGCACUUACUCAAUUUAUCAUGUUAACUAGUCAGCUUGCAGAACCCCAGGAAAAUUGGAAAGAAUCAGUAAGUUCUGAUAAAUAAAAAGAGAGAGCUUAGGGGGCACCAGGAUUGCUCAGCUGGUUGGACAUCUGACUCCUGAUUUUGGCUCAGGUCAUGAUCUCAAUUGGGCUUGCCCUGGGUGUGGAACCUCUUUAGGAUUCUCAAGCACAUUCUAUUUACUAACUAAUCAAAUAGCUUUGAGAAUGUAUCUCAUGAUAAGACUCUCAGAAAGAGAAGACAAUAUUCCCAUAGAUCUGCAGAAGAGCACAUAUCAUCCCAGACUGUAAAGCCAGUUCUGUUAAAGUAGAGAAUUCAGGCCAUUCACUAAAUUUUUGCCAUUAUUCCCUAAUCAAAUAUGAAAAUGUGUAAAAACGAUGGAAUUGUAUUCUAAUCUUCUUUGGUUUAACAGAAAAAUCUUCUAAUCUUUUUUUUUUUUUUUUUUUUUUUUGAGAGAGAGAGAACAUGAGUCGAGGGGCAAGAGGGAUAGAAGGAGAAGGAGAGAAUCUUAAGCAGGCUCCAUGCCCAAAGCAGAGUCUGAUGUGGGGCUUGAUCUCACCACCCUGCGAUCAUGGCCUGAGCUGAAAGCAGGGGUUGGAUGCCCAACCCAUUAACCCACCCAGGUGGCCAACAGAAAGGUCUUUUAAAGACACCUGGACUUCUGAGGACAUAUGUAUACCCUGUGAAAAGAGAGACUCAUCAUUGCUAGAAUUCUGUAAUUCUGAUUAGUUAACUUAUGUAAUAAUUUCUUGCUUGAGGAAUAAUGUUUAGAUUGAUCUCUCUUUUCUGAGAAGUAUAAACACUUGCCAGAUUUCUUCGCUAACCAUGAAGAGAUUCAUAUCCUUCUCCCUUCAUAUAUAAAAAUGUAAUAAACCGGAGCAUCUGGGUGGCUCAGUUGGUUAAGUGCCUGCCUUCGCCUCAGGUCAUGGUCCCACGGUCCUGAGAUCGAGCCCCGCCAUCAGGCUCCCUGCUCAGCUUUCCCUCUGCCACUCCUCCUGAUUGUGCUCUCUUGCUCUCUUUCUCUCUCUCUAUGUCAAGUAAAUAAAUCAAAUUUUAAAAAAUAGGCAACUAACCUAUUUUUCGUUGCAUUCCCCAUUCAAACCAAGAGUUUGAGAGUCUUUGUCUCAUUUAAAUUCACACUGCUAAGUGGUCUGAUAGAAGUUAAAUUAAGAGACAUCACUGUCAAGAAGUAACAGUCCCUUUUAAGCUUCACACAGGAGAUGACAUUUAAGAUGCUGUAAUAGAACGGUCAGAUUUCUGCAAGCAAAGAAGAGAGGAAGGGGUUGGGAAGGGAGCAUUUCUGGUAGAAGCAGUGGUAAUGCCUUGAAAACAUAAGUGCCAUGUGUUGAAGGAAUACCAUCUGUUUCAGCAUGGUGAGGAGUGGGAGCUGGUUACUGGGUGAAGCUGGAAGAGUGGAAUGGGUCAGAUCAAAAGCUGAAUGAAGCAUUCUAGGACUUUAAAAAAAUAUAAAUCAGUGGUGUGCAGUGAAAUACUUGUGAGUAAGGGGUCGUGUGAUUUGCUGUUCACUGAGAAAUGUAAAUAGCAGGAAGAUGGAAGACAUAUUGAAGAGAGGAAGACCCGGGUACAGGGGUCCCAUUCAGGACGGCACCUGAAUAGUCUCCGCAAAGGGUGACAAGGUCUGUGGCAAUGGAAAGAUAAGGAGAGCAGGAAUUCAAAAGACAUUCCAGAAGUGUAAUCCUCUGGGAAUGAGAAUGAAGAUGAGAGAAAGGUUGGAUAAACCUACAGGUUACUAAGGGAGGGGUUGUAGCAUCCUUCUCUUUUGAAAUUUAUACUCAUGAUAUAUGCACCUGUGUCUACAGGAUGUCUCAGAGGUGAGAGAAACACAUAACCACUGGGGUGAAUUGCAUAACGAUUGGAGGUUUUCCCUAAUUCUAUUAUCUGUGAUUAAAAACCUAAGAUCUGCAAUGCAGUCUACUCCCAGGAAGUCAUCGACAACAACUGAAAUCUACUCUUAUCUCUUGUCUAUGAAGCCACCGCAGCAUUUCUACUCUGGAGGACUCUAAUCCUCUCACCCUGGAAUGCCCAUCUUCCUCCAGAGUGACUUCCAACUUUGCUCAUAUCUCAGACUAUUUCUAUGUGAAUAAUUCAACCACUUCUUUACACCUGCAGAAUGAGUUUUUACCAAGACUGAAUGAAUGAACAUUAUAAGAUACUUCUAUAAAUCCCUCAUUUCUUCCUUUUGAAUCAGUGGCUCCCAACCUCUGAGUAUUUUCUCUUCAAUUUUAAUUUUAUUGUUUUUCUUUGUCUUUAAGUUUCACUCACUCAGUUUUGGUAAUAUUUUUCACAAAGGAUGAACUAUGAAAAUAAAUGAUACAAAGUAAGCCACUGAUGUGUCAUGUCAUUGGAGUAGAUGAUGUUAAGGACUUUCUCAGUUCCAGCUUGAUAAAAAGGGGCUCACCCAAGUGAAAAGGCUUGGCAUUAAGGUGCUCCAAGUUGUUACGUAUUGAGAUUUAAUUUUAGAAAAGUUAUGAUUGUGAAAUAUGAAUCGACCAAAUGAAUUGAUAAAUUACUUUUAUCUCCAGUCAACCAUAUUGUAUCAUUUUCCAAGAGAUAAGUUUUGAUGUAAUGUAGGAAAGCUUUAUGUUUUGAGUUAUCUAUAAUACUUAUUACUAGAGCCAAAGACCUUAUUGGUAUUUUCAUUUUCAUUAUGAAUUUCAAACUAACAAUAAAAAUUUAAAAGUCAACACCAAUUUAUAAAAAAAAAAAAAAGGAGGCAGAGAGGAAAUCUGUGUAUUCUUACAGAUUU